UUCCUGGUGGUUCAGUGGUAAGGACUUGGUGCUUCCACUACAAGGGGCACGGGUUUGAUCCCUGUUUGGGAAA
rnacentral:tRNA from 1 species